rnacentral:lncRNA from 1 species
CCCCUUAAAUAAUGUUAUAAAAUAAAGAGAAGAACACUAUUGUUACUAAAACAGUAACCCUCCUAUAUAGCUGAUAAGAAAUCAAAUUAAGUUUCUCAUAUGAUGCUAAAAACUACAUGAUACUGGUGGAGAACAAAAAAAAAUCUGAUUCUAUUCUGACUACAAACUCUCUUGCUCAAAGUAAGGUAUGAUUAGUGAUAUUAUUUCUUGUUGAUUAUUUUUUUCUUCUAAUUAUUAUUUUUUG